GGGGGAUAUUGCACAAUGGGGGAAACCCUGAUGCAGCGACGCCGCGUGGAGGAAGAAGGUUUUCGGAUUGUAAACUCCUGUCGUUAGGGACGAUAAUGACGGUACCUAACAAGAAAGCACCGGCUAACUACGUGCCAGCAGCCGCGGUAAAACGUAGGGUGCAAGCGUUGUCCGGAAUUACUGGGUGUAAAGGGAGCGCAGGCGGACCGGCAAGUUGGAAGUGAAAACUAUGGGCUCAACCCAUAAAUUGCUUUCAAAACUGCUGGCCUUGAGUAGUGCAGAGGUAGGUGGAAUUCCCGGUGUAGCGGUGGAAUGCGUAGAUAUCGGGAGGAACACCAGUGGCGAAGGCGACCUACUGGGCACCAACUGACGCUGAGGCUCGAAAGCAUGGGUAGCAAACAGGAUUAGAUACCCUGGUAGUCCAUGCCGUAAACGAUGAUUACUAGGUGUUGGAGGAUUGACCCCUUCAGUGCCGCAGUUAACACAAUAAGUAAUCCACCUGGGGAGUACGACCGCAAGGUUGAAACUCAAAGGAAUUGACGGGGGCCCGCACAAGCAGUGGAGUAUGUGGUUUAAUUCGAAGCAACGCGAAGAACCUUACCAGGUCUUGACAUCCGAUGCAUAGUGCAGAGAUGCAUGAAGUCCUUCGGGGCAUCGAGACAGGUGGUGCAUGGUUGUCGUCAGCUCGUGUCGUGAGAUGUUGGGUUAAGUCCCGCAACGAGCGCAACCCUUAUUGCCAGUUACUACGCAAGAGGACUCUGGCGAGACUGCCGUUGACAAAACGGAGGAAGGUGGGGAUGACGUCAAAUCAUCAUGCCCUUUAUGACCUGGGCUACACACGUACUACAAUGGCGUUUAACAAAGAGAAGCAAGACCGCGAGGUGGAGCAAAACUCAAAAACAACGUCUCAGUUCAGAUUGCAGGCUGCAACUCGCCUGCAUGAAGUCGGAAUUGCUAGUAAUCGCGGAUCAGCAUGCCGCGGUGAAUACGUUCCCG
rnacentral:rRNA from 1 species